CGCACCUUGCGCUCCUUGGUAUUCCGAGGAGCAUGCCUGUUUGAGCGUCGUGAAUCUCUCAACCCACAAAUUGUUUGUUCAGUUUGUGCGGCUUGGACUUGGAGGCAUUGCUGGCGAUGGUCAGCUCCUCUUAAAUGUAUUAGCUGGGCUUAGCUCGGUGGAACGGUUAGUGUGAUAAUUAUCUGCGCUGCCUACUACAUCGGAUCCCGCUUCUAAUCGUCCGUAAGGACAAUUCACUUUGAAUCUGACCUCAAAUCAGGUAGGACUACCCGCUGAACUUAA
rnacentral:misc_RNA from 1 species